rnacentral:rRNA from 1 species
GAUGAACGCUGGCGGCGUGCCUAAUACAUGCAAGUCGAGCGAACGGACGAGAAGCUUGCUUUUCUGAUGUUAGCGGCGGACGGGUGAGUAACACGUGGAUAACCUACCUAUAAGACUGGGAUAACUUCGGGAAACCGGAGCUAAUACCGGAUAAUAUUUUGAACCGCAUGGUUCAAAAGUGAAAGACGGUCUUGCUGUCACUUAUAGAUGGAUCCGCGCUGCAUUAGCUAGUUGGUAAGGUAACGGCUUACCAAGGCAACGAUGCAUGGCCGACCUGAGAGGGUGAUCGGCCACACUGGAACUGUGACACGGUCCAGACUCCUACGGGAGGCAGCAGUAGGGAAUCUUCCGCAAUGGGCGAAAGCCUGACGGAGCAACGCCGCGUGAGUGAUGAAGGUCUUCGGAUCGUAAAACUCUGUUAUUAGGGAAGAACAUAUGUGUAAGUAACUGUGCACAUCUUGACGGUACCUAAUCAGAAAGCCACGGCUAACUACGUG